rnacentral:tRNA from 4 species
CGGGGUGUGGCGCAGCCUGGUAGCGCACCUGCUUUGGGAGCAGGGGGCCGGAGGUUCAAAUCCUCUCACCCCGACCA